AUCCAACUGAUGCGUCUUAAAUAGGAUGAAACGCGCGUCCUGGAU
rfam:Schistosoma curassoni strain Dakar, Senegal genome assembly, scaffold: SCTD_scaffold0001030